rnacentral:pre_miRNA from 1 species
AGAAAGAACAACCACGGUGGCGGUGUCAGCUCUGGAAAUCUGGAGCAGCCCCCACAGGAACUCUGGAGCUCUCCGCCUGCAGGGCCUGGAGGCUCCGGGCGGGG